CUCCAACAAUGAGCCUUGUUCAUUCUUUCAGUAGCCAUGCACUCCUUUCUCCUCUCUGAUCUCUGGCCUGAUCCUCCUGCAUGCCAUCCCCAUGUCACAGUUGACCCUUUGCUCCCCCACCUGUCCUAAGAAUCUGAGGUCCUGUUCAUUUGUCAGCUCUCCAUCCUAAUACGCUGGACUGCAGCUUCUUAGAAGUCAGUAUUUCCAAAGAAGGAGGGCCUAUUACUGUUACUUCCAUAGCAGAUGGCUGCUAAUCCCCACAAGUAAACAAACAGAGAACACUCCCUACAACAAAACAAAAAUGACAACAGCAAUAUAAUGAAAACGACCCUCUGAGAAAUUUCUUUGCACAGGUUCUCAUCACUAUCAAGUGGAAUAACUGAAAUUCAAAAGGACUUCAACUCUUUCCACUCUGCUUUCACACCUCCACAAGAGAACAUUUGAUUUGGGCAGCCCUCCAUCUGCUGAAUCCCUUGAAUAGUAAUGAUGGUAUCAAGAAAUCAUAGGGAGCAAAAAAAGAAAUAUUGGACACACAGAAGGGGAAAAGUUGAACCAUGAUAAAAACAAAAAUAUUGUGCAUCAUCCUCUCCCAAGAAUGUUUCUAUUCCCUAUAGGGUCCCCCCUCACCUCACUGUCCAUAAUUCACUAAAAUUAUUCACCAGCAUUUAUUCUUCAACUGGAUAACAAGUUUAGUCCAAAGGAAUGCAUCUCUGACAGAGAUCCAUAAACUUCAUCUGAAAACGGCCACACAGUAAAUACUUUUGGCUUGCUGGGCCAUAUGGUCUCCUUUACAGCUAUUUAACUUCACUGAUAGAGCCCAAAAGCAGCCAUGAGCUGUAAGGAAGUGAAUGAGUGGAGCUGUGUGGCACUGGGUCUUACAGCCCAUGCGCAGUGGUUACCACCUCCUGUGCUAACUGGACAACUUAUUAGACACUGGUGACAGGCGGAUGGCAAAUAAGCCUUGAACAGGAAAGACUCCCAGAUUCUGUCACAUGUGUAAACAUAAGUUCUUGCCUUACAAAUGCUCUGUCCUGCCCUCAGGUUGGCUGAUGAAGGAGUUUGCAGUCUCUUCUGCUACAAAUUUCAAAGAAGCCCAGCUGUCUGAAGGGAACUGUGAAACCACAUGUGCUACUACCUAGCAGAUGAAGGGGGUUCUAGUUCCAAUUAUCUCAGAGACUUCCGGGGGAGGCGUCAGCAGAGACAUCUUGAGAAUUACUGCUCCCUUACAUGUUGACAGUUUCCGCAGAAGGAAAGAUUUCCAAAGCACAGUGAGAGGAGAAAGUACUUCUAUAAUACUUCAAAUAUGAACUUUGAAUACAAAUAUUGUGAUUUUAAGGCACAAAUAUUGUAAUUUUAAGGCUCUUCAAGUAUUUGUUCCUUUUAAUCAGCUUGAGUGUAUCCUGGCCAUGUGAAGAAAGUAGAACUUGGAGUCACCAAUCGAGAUGUCUAAUUCUCCAUAUUUUCCAUACGACGACUUCCAAAAUUUAAUACUAAAAAAAUGGAGGAGGAGGAGGAGUUGGGGGUAGGGAGAAGAGAAUGAGAAGAAAAAGAGAAGGAGAAGGAUUAAGAAAACAGGGAGGAAAGCUAGAAGAAGGCAACAUCUGGACCAAUAUACAUCCUAGGCAUCCAUUAUCUUUUUCUAAAUAAAAUUGGCAUAUCUAGGUCUCAUCUAUUUAUUUACUACCAAAUACAUGUGAAAUAUAUUUUACCAAACUGGAUAUCUUACAGGUUUUAUCUUAUAUACCUAUCUCAGAAAACUGAUAGUUUAUAUAAUUACUUGUUUUUUUCCACAUUUCUUAUUUAAUUAUGAUUUCCUUAAAGAUGAAAAUUGCCCAUUAUUCAUAUUUGAAUCUUUAGCCCAUUUCUUCUAGAUGAUAUUAUUGGUACCCACCUAUCAUUCUUGUAUCUCCAAGUUGGUAAUGUGAUUUUGCACUUCUUCCCAUGAUGUUAUCACUAAACCCCUUGACUUUGGGCUAACUGUGUGACUUUUAUUGGCUAAAAAAAAUGAGAUUGAGGUAAUAUAGACAUGUUUGAAGACUAGGUCUUCAAAGGUCUGUGUCUCUGCUUCCCCUUUUGUGCAGUUUGCAUCAUCCUGAUAAGAGUUUUCCCCAGGAAACUGCAGUACCUACAUCUUGGCUGUAAAAAUGAAGGCACAAGGCAAAGGCCAGAGGUAAGAAUUCAGUGUGGAGCCAGUCAGGACCAAUGAACCUCUUCCCAACUUGAAGCACAGGAACAAUAUUAAACAAUUGAUUAAUAUUGUUGAGUUUUGAAGUGAUUUAGCAGUAAUAUCCAACUCAACCCUAUAGCUAGUCCAACCCUAUUCCUAGAAAAGUGCCUGGCAUCGAGUAAAAGUUCCUUAAUGGUUAUAGUAGCAAAAUAAUGGGAGAUCUAAUAUAUCUUUCAA